rnacentral:misc_RNA from 2 species
GAAAUGCGAUAAGUAGUGUGAAUUGCAGAAUUCAGUGAAUCAUCGAAUCUUUGAACGCACAUUGCGCCCCUUGGUAUUCCAUGGGGCAUGCCUGUUCGAGCGUCAUCUACACCCUCAAGCUCUGCUUGGUGUUGGGCGUCUGUCCCGCCUCCGCGCGUUGGACUCGCCCCAAAUUCAUUGGCAGCGUUUCCUUGCCCCCCUCUCGCGCAGCACAUCGCGCUUCUCGAGGGCGGCUCCGGCACGCGACCCACGAAAGAUGACCACCGUCUUUGACCUCGGAUCAGGUAGGGAUACCCGCUGAACUUAA